UACGUAGGGACCAAGCGUUGUUCGGAUUUACUGGGCGUAAAGGGCGCGUAGGCGGCAAUUCAAGUCACUUGUGAAAUCUCCGAGCUUAACUCGGAACGGUCAAGUGAUACUGCUUUGCUAGAGUGCAGAAGGGGCAACCGGAAUUCUUGGUGUAGCGGUGAAAUGCGUAGAUAUCAAGAGGAACACCGGAGGUGAAGACGGGUUGCUGGACUGACACUGACGCUGAGGCGCGAAAGCUAGGGUAGCAAACGGG
rnacentral:rRNA from 1 species